AUUGAACGCUGGCGGCAAGCCUAACACAUGCAAGUCGAACGAGUGGCGGACGGGUGAGUAAUGUCUGGGAAACUGCCUGAUGGAGGGGGAUAACUACUGGAAACGGUAGCUAAUACCGCAUACCAUCGGAUGUGCCCAGAUGGGAUUAGCUAGGAGUUGGGGUAAAGGCUCACCUAGGCGACGAUCCCUAGCUGGUCUGAGAGUAUGACCAGCCAAACUGGAACUGAGACACGGUCCAGACUCCUACGGGAGGCAGCAGUGGGGAAUAUUGCACAAUGGGCGCAAGCCUGAUGCAGCCAUGCCGCGUGUAUGAAGAAGGCCUUCGGGUUGUAAAGUACUUUCAGCGGGGAGGCGUUAACCGAAGAAGAAGCACCGGCUAACUCCGUGCCAGCAGCCGCGGUAAUAG
rnacentral:rRNA from 1 species